AUUGAACGCUGGCGGCAUGCCUUACACAGGCAAGUCGAACGGUAACAGGUCUUCGGAUGCUGACGAGUGGCGAACGGGUGAGUAAUACAUCGGAACGUGCCUAGUAGUGGGGGAUAACUACUCGAAAGAGUGGCUAAUACCGCAUGAGAUCUACGGAUGAAAGCAGGGGAUCGCAAGACCUUGUGCUACUAGAGCGGCCGAUGGCAGAUUAGGUAGUUGGUGGGAUAAAAGCUUACCAAGCCGACGAUCUGUAGCUGGUCUGAGAGGACGAUCAGCCACACUGGGACUGAGACACGGCCCAGACUCCUACGGGAGGCAGCAGUGGGGUAUUUUGGACAAUGGGCGAAAGCCUGAUCCAGCAAUGCCGCGUGCAGGAUGAAGGCCUUCGGGUUGUAAACUGCUUUUGUACGGAACGAAAAGCCCCGGGUUAAUACCCUGGGGUCAUGACGGUACCGUAAGAAUAAGCACCGGCUAACUACGUGCCAGCCGCCGCAGUAA
rnacentral:rRNA from 1 species